GUACAUAUUUGAUCACUGGUUCUGCAUGAUGUUGCAGAAACAAGAGGACUAUGUCUACAAAAGUGAGUUUGGCUAGGAGCAGUGGCUCACUCUUGUAUUCCCAACACUUUG
rnacentral:snoRNA from 1 species